rnacentral:lncRNA from 1 species
AGUGGAGAGGUGAGACUAGCAGUGUGUGGCCUGGGACAGGAGUAGAUAAAAGGCAGCCAUGGUGAGCCAGCGCCAUGAGGAGUGGCUGCCUCUUGAAUCCUGUCAGUCUCCGGCAGAUCCGAUUACAUCUGGGACCCUUAAGAGUACUUGAAGCAAACGGCGCUGGUCUAUUUUAAUCCUGCUCCUUCUAGAAACUAGAAACUGUAAGGAGAGUCUUCCUGCUGACAGGUGGCUCCAUAAAAGUCGUCCAUCUGCUGCUAAUUAUGGCAGAAAGAAAAUUCACAGAGCCGAGUUUUCAGUUUAUUUGCUAAAGAUCUCCAAAGGUGUAACUGUCUUCCCAGAUCACAAGGCCAUUCACAGCGUUACAUCUAUAGCGCUUGUUAAUUAUUUAAAUAAUUU